rfam:Populus trichocarpa isolate Nisqually-1 chromosome 8, whole genome shotgun sequence.
AUGGAAGAUGAUGAAAUGAAUCAGAAGGAUUCCCAUUGAUCAUUCAAUGUGAUAUCAUAACCAGCACGUCUGAGCCAU